UACGUAGGUGGCAAGCGUUGUUCGGAAUUAUUGGGCGUAAAGGGCGCGUAGGCGGCUUGUUAAGUCAGCUGUGAAAGCCCGGGGCUCAACCCCGGAGGGUCAGCUGAUACUGGCUAGCUAGAGUACGGAAGAGGUAGCUGGAAUUCCCGGUGUAGCGGUGAAAUGCGCAGAUAUCGGGAAGAACACCCGUGGCGAAGGCGGCUCUCUGGGACGGUACUGACGCUGAGACGCGAAAGCGUGGGGAGCGAACAGG
rnacentral:rRNA from 1 species